GGCCUUGUAGCUCAGAAGGUGGAGUGUCGUUCUAUAGAAAUGCGAAGGUCGCGGGUUCGAUUCCCAGCCGUGAUCA